CUAGGCUUUCAGUGGCUUUUAAGCAGUGUGCUCUCAAUAUUUCUUGGUUUGAUUUCUCCUGCUGAAGUCCUGCUGUCUUCUCUCCUAGAAUACAACAUGAAAUUAGUCCUCUGAAAGUCAUUGUGGCACGUGGACAAGAAAGUAUUAAUAACUUUUCUAAAGAGGUACUUCUCCAAGAUUUGGUGUUUCACAGACCACAGCCAGUGCUCUCAGUUCUACAGAUGGCCAACUUCUGCAUUUCAGAUAGCAGCUUCCAAAGAUAGCUCAACUUGCAUCCCUAAAGCAGAAGACCCAGCUAUGGGGAAGGGAACCAUCAGAAGAAUCUCUAAGCCAGAGGUUAAACACCACCACCCACAUGUUGGUCAGGGGCAAGAAGACCCACCACCAAGCAAAAUCAUUGCAGGGCCUGCUGUCCUGGCUGGGGAUCCAGCAAGCAAGGCUGAGCUGUCUGCAGGCUGUGACUUCCACAGCUCAGUGACUAAUCAAAAAGACCUCUCCAGGAUGAAUGGUGUAAGUAGGAUAAAAGCAUGUGUUAGAUUC